UAAAACUAUAGUUUAAUCAAAACCUAUGGUUUGCACCCAUAAAUUACCCUCAAAGGUUAGUUUUAUC
rnacentral:tRNA from 1 species